rnacentral:rRNA from 1 species
UGGGUAAUCUUUUGAAACUUCAUCGUGCUGGGGAUAGAGCAUUGCAACUAUUGCUCUUGUACGAGGAAUCCCUAGUAAGUACAAGUCACUAGCUUGUGCUGAUUACGUCCCUGCCCUUUGUACACACCGCCCGUCGCUACUACCGAUUGAAUGGCUUAGUGAGGCCUUCGGAUUGAAAUUCGGAGACUGGCAACAGACUCUUGGUUUUGAAAAGUUGGACAAACUUGGUCAUUUAGAGGAAGUAAAAGUCGUAACAAGGUUUCCGUAGGUGAACCUGCGG